rnacentral:rRNA from 1 species
AUGAGUAGGGCGGGACACGUGGUAUCCUGUCUGAAUAUGGGGGGACCAUCCUCCAAGGCUAAAUACUCCUGACUGACCGAUAGUGAACCAGUACCGUGAGGGAAAGGCGAAAAGAACCCCGGCGAGGGGAGUGAAAAAGAACCUGAAACCGUGUACGUACAAGCAGUGGGAGCACGCUUAGGCGUGUGACUGCGUACCUUUUGUAUAAUGGGUCAGCGACUUAUAUUCUGUAGCAAGGUUAACCGAAUAGGGGAGCCGAAGGGAAACCGAGUCUUAACUGGGCGUUAAGUUGCAGGGUAUAGACCCGAAACCCGGUGAUCUAGCCAUGGGCAGGUUGAAGGUUGGGUAACACUAACUGGAGGACCGAACCGACUAAUGUUGAAAAAUUAGCGGAUGACUUGUGGCUGGGGGUGAAAGGCCAAUCAAACCGGGAGAUAGCUGGUUCUCCCCGAAAGCUAUUUAGGUAGCGCCUCGUGAAUUCAUCUCCGGGGGUAGAGCACUGUUUCGGCAAGGGGGUCAUCCCGACUUACCAACCCGAUGCAAACUGCGAAUACCGGAGAAUGUUAUCACGGGAGACACACGGCGGGUGCUAACGUCCGUCGUGAAGAGGGAAACAACCCAGACCGCCAGCUAAGGUCCCAAAGUCAUGGUUAAGUGGGAAACGAUGUGGGAAGGCCCAGACAGCCAGGAUGUUGGCUUAGAAGCAGCCAUCAUUUAAAGAAAGCGUAAUAGCUCACUGGUCGAGUCGGCCUGCGCGGAAGAUGUAACGGGGCUAAACCAUGCACCGAAGCUGCGGCAGCGACGCUUAUGCGUUGUUGGGUAGGGGAGCGUUCUGUAAGCCUGCGAAGGUGUGCUGUGAGGCAUGCUGGAGGUAUCAGAAGUGCGAAUGCUGACAUAAGUAACGAUAAAGCGGGUGAAAAGCCCGCUCGCCGGAAGACCAAGGGUUCCUGUCCAACGUUAAUCGGGGCAGGGUGAGUCGACCCCUAAGGCGAGGCCGAAAGGCGUAGUCGAUGGGAAACAGGUUAAUAUUCCUGUACUUGGUGUUACUGCGAAGGGGGGACGGAGAAGGCUAUGUUGGCCGGGCGACGGUUGUCCCGGUUUAAGCGUGUAGGCUGGUUUUCCAGGCAAAUCCGGAAAAUCAAGGCUGAGGCGUGAUGACGAGGCACUACGGUGCUGAAGCAACAAAUGCCCUGCUUCCAGGAAAAGCCUCUAAGCAUCAGGUAACAUCAAAUCGUACCCCAAACCGACACAGGUGGUCAGGUAGAGAAUACCAAGGCGCUUGAGAGAACUCGGGUGAAGGAACUAGGCAAAAUGGUGCCGUAACUUCGGGAGAAGGCACGCUGAUAUGUAGGUGAAGUCCCUUGCGGAUGGAGCUGAAAUCAGUCGAAGAUACCAGCUGGCUGCAACUGUUUAUUAAAAACACAGCACUGUGCAAACACGAAAGUGGACGUAUACGGUGUGACGCCUGCCCGGUGCCGGAAGGUUAAUUGAUGGGGUCAGCGCAAGCGAAGCUCUUGAUCGAAGCCCCGGUAAACGGCGGCCGUAACUAUAACGGUCCUAAGGUAGCGAAAUUCCUUGUCGGGUAAGUUCCGACCUGCACGAAUGGCGUAAUGAUGGCCAGGCUGUCUCCACCCGAGACUCAGUGAAAUUGAACUCGCUGUGAAGAUGCAGUGUACCCGCGGCAAGACGGAAAGACCCCGUGAACCUUUACUAUAGCUUGACACUGAACAUUGAGCCUUGAUGUGUAGGAUAGGUGGGAGGCUUUGAAGUGUGGACGCCAGUCUGCAUGGAGCCGGCCUUGAAAUACCACCCUUUAAUGUUUGAUGUUCUAACGUGGACCCGUGAUCCGGGUUGCGGACAGUGUCUGGUGGGUAGUUUGACUGGGGCGGUCUCCUCCUAAAGAGUAACGGAGGAGCACGAAGGUUGGCUAAUCCUGGUCGGACAUCAGGAGGUUAGUGCAAUGGCAUAAGCCAGCUUGACUGCGAGCGUGACGGCGCGAGCAGGUGCGAAAGCAGGUCAUAGUGAUCCGGUGGUUCUGAAUGGAAGGGCCAUCGCUCAACGGAUAAAAGGUACUCCGGGGAUAACAGGCUGAUACCGCCCAAGAGUUCAUAUCGACGGCGGUGUUUGGCACCUCGAUGUCGGCUCAUCACAUCCUGGGGCUGAAGUAGGUCCCAAGGGUAUGGCUGUUCGCCAUUUAAAGUGGUACGCGAGCUGGGUUUAGAACGUCGUGAGACAGUUCGGUCCCUAUCUGCCGUGGGCGCUGGAGAACUGAGGGGGGCUGCUCCUAGUACGAGAGGACCGGAGUGGACGCAUCACUGGUGUUCGGGUUGUCAUGCCAAUGGCACUGCCCGGUAGCUAAAUGCGGAAGAGAUAAGUGCUGAAAGCAUCUAAGCACGAAACUUGCCCCGAGAUGAGUUCUCCCUGACCCUUUAAGGGUCCUGAAGGAACGUUGAAGACGACGACGUUGAUAGGCCGGGUGUGUAAGCGCAGCGAUGCGUUGAGCUAACCGGUACUAAUGAACCGUGAGGCUUAACCUUACAACGCCGAAG